rnacentral:rRNA from 1 species
AUUGAACGCUGGCGGCAGGCCUAACACAUGCAAGUCGAACGGUAACAGGAAGAAGCUUGCUUCUUUGCUGACGAGUGGCGGACGGGUGAGUAAUGUCUGGGAAACUGCCUGAUGGAGGGGGAUAACUACUGGAAACGGUAGCUAAUACCGCAUAACGUCGCAAGACCAAAGAGGGGGACCUUCGGGCCUCUUGCCAUCGGAUGUGCCCAGAUGGGAUUAGCUAGUAGGUGGGGUAACGGCUCACCUAGGCGACGAUCCCUAGCUGGUCUGAGAGGAUGACCAGCCACACUGGAACUGAGACACGGUCCAGACUCCUACGGGAGGCAGCAGUGGGGAAUAUUGCACAAUGGGCGCAAGCCUGAUGCAGCCAUGCCGCGUGUAUGAAGAAGGCCUUCGGGUUGUAAAGUACUUUCAGCGGGGAGGAAGGGAGUAAAGUUAGUACCUUUGCUCAUUGACGUUACCCGCAGAAGAAGCACCGGCUAACUCCGUG